GCUUGCUUGGAUAACACGUUUACUAAAAUUGGAACGAAACAGAGAAAAUUAGCAUAGCCCCUAAGCAAGGAUGACAUGAAAAUUUGUGAAGCUUUCCAGAUGAAA